UCCCUGGAGGACUAGUGCUUAGGCCACAGUGCUCUAACCUCUGCGGCCCGGGUUCGAUUCCCGGCCAGGGAA
rnacentral:tRNA from 1 species